CUGAAACUAAAUACCUGUUGUGCUCUGCCCAUGGCGAGGUUGCAGCUUAUCUCCCCAGCAGCAAGAAAGCAACACAAACCCUCCAGCAAAACAGCAAACAGCAGCAGGAUUAAUAAAUAACACCCAAAAAGGAGACAGUGCAGGAACAAGCUGUUACUACUGUACUCAGAGGCCAGAUCUACUCUAGGAAGCCACUUUAAAGCAUUUGAGGAUGAGACAAAUAAGGGCUUUUAAGAUAGAUUACUCUCUGCAAAAGAUCCCUUGUGAUAGAGUUUGCAUGGGUCCAAGCAAGGUAACAAACAGGUUGUGGUGGGAACCAGGGCCCCUGUUCAUCCUCUUGAGUCCUAUCAGGGUAAACACGAUUCUUGGGACAGUAGAAAUGUCAGAGCCUGCACCAGGCAGAAAUUAAAUACACAAGGAAAACUGCUGAUACUGCAGCCAAGGGGAUUGAAAAGCUGAACUGACUUAGAGUGGGUCACUUCCACAGUGCUUGGAACUGCCUUCAAAUUAUCCGGUCAAAUGAGUGUUAGAUAAGCAGAGUCCUUCUGGGCCUUCAGGGGAAUUCAGACAAGAGGGUUAUUCAGCAGCUGGGUGAUGACUAAAACUUUGUGAGGCAGGUGGGGGAUAAAUCCCUUCUGUGACCCAAGACAGCUGGUGCUGGAGGGCAGGCUGGGAGGGUGCCCGAGGAAACUGGGGUGGUUGAGCUGGGGCAAGGUCAAGGGUCCCUGUCUGUCCUGCCCAGUCACCACAUCCCUGAGCUCUUUGAGGAACCUUAUUUCAAUAAGGGAUUUUUUUUGCUCAGAUUUUUAUUUCUGUCAGAUUUCCUAAGUGGCCAGUAAAUCCCCUUAUGCAAUUGCUGUGCAUGACUGUAACUCUGCUCCUGACCAACAACUUUUACCUCACCAAUGCAGGGCUCUCAGAAGUCCAAAGAAAGGUUUUUCCAACACAUGAUGUGAAAAUGGUGGAUGAGGAGAGUAAGGUGUUUGGGAUCAAAGGGUUUAAGCAAAGCAUGGGAUCACAGUCUCUCUGUCCCCUCCAUAACACCGUAACAGGCCUGCCAGGAUCUCUGUGCUUGCCUUUGCCUCCUCCCCUCCUGUGGCCCUUGCAGACCAAGGUCCCAGAUCUCCAACCAACAUGAGAGGAGCCUUCAAUGGGAAAAAUAAAGCCUCUUAAAAAGCUCUUCUCUUUCCUAUC
rnacentral:lncRNA from 1 species